UGGGGAAUUGUUCGCAAUGGGCGCAAGCCUGACGACGCAACGCCGCGUGGAGGAUGAAGGUCUUCGGAUCGUAAACUCCUGUUGCCCGGGACGAAUGGCUUCGACCUAAUACGUCGGAGUAUGACGGUACCGGGUGAGGAAGCCCCGGCUAACUCUGUGCCAGCAGCCGCGGUAAUACAGAGGGGGCAAGCGUUGUUCGGAAUUACUGGGCGUAAAGGGCGCGUAGGCGGCCUGUUAAGUCGAACGUGAAAUCCCUGGGCUCAACCCAGGAACUGCGUCCGAUACUGGCUGGCUUGAAUCCGGGAGAGGUUGGUGGAAUUCCUAGUGUAGAGGUGAAAUUUGUAGAUAUUAGGAAGAACACCAGUGGCGAAGGCGGCACGCUGGGCCAUAACUGACGCUAAGACGCGAAAGCAUGGGUAGCGAACGGGAUUAGAUACCCCUGUAGUCCUGAG
rnacentral:rRNA from 1 species